rnacentral:rRNA from 1 species
CCUACGGGUGGCAGCAGUGGGGAAUAUUGCUCAAUGGGCGCAAGCCUGAUGCAGCCAUGCCGCGUGUGUGAAGAAGGCCUUCGGGUUGUAAAGCACUUUCAGCGGGGAGGAAGGCGGUGAGGUUAAUAACCUCAUCGAUUGACGUUACCCGCAGAAGAAGCACCGGCUAACUCCGUGCCAGCAGCCGCGGUAAUACGGAGGGUGCAAGCGUUAAUCGGAAUUACUGGGCGUAAAGCGCACGCAGGCGGUCUGUCAAGUCGGAUGUGAAAUCCCCGGGCUCAACCUGGGAACUGCAUUCGAAACUGGCAGGCUAGAGUCUUGUAGAGGGGGGUAGAAUUCCAGGUGUAGCGGUGAAAUGCGUAGAGAUCUGGAGGAAUACCGGUGGCGAAGGCGGCCCCCUGGACAAAGACUGACGCUCAGGUGCGAAAGCGUGGGGAGCAAACAGGAUUAGAUACCCGGGUAGUC